GCACUGUUAAUUUGAUAAAUCUGUUAAAUUUCCUUAUUGUGAUAAAAAAAAUAGUUGCUAUAUUUUCUAAGCACUAGCAGAUUAAACUAUAUUAAAUGGCACUUGUUAAUUACUCCUUCCAGCCAGCAUAAUCAUUCCUGUCAGCAGCAGCAGCAACCAUAUUGUUCGGCACCUGGCUAGCAGAUCAUACAUUUACCUUGCCUAUUCGGCAGACAGGACACAGCUGUUUAACAGCUGGGGUCAGCAUGUUAAAGAAUCCUCCCAUUAACUUACAGAUGUAUAACUAAUAAGAACCCAUUACUCUAACGCAGCAAGUAAUAUUGAUUUUAUACUUUCAAUACCCAUAUAGGUUCAAAAUUUAGGUUCCAGGAAUUCACCUGCAAUAAACAAAAUUAUGUCAA